rnacentral:rRNA from 1 species
GAAUGUUGACCUCGGAUCAGGUAGGAAUACCCGCUGAAUUUAAAUAAAGAGU